rnacentral:rRNA from 1 species
UACAGAGGUCCCAAGCGUUGUCCGGAAUCAUUGGGCGUAAAGAGCGUGUAGGCGGCCCGAUAAGUCCGCUGUGAAAGUCCAGGGCUCAACCCUGGGAUGCCGGUGGAUACUGUCGGGCUCGAGUCCGGAAGAGGAGUGUGGAAUUCCUGGUGUAGCGGUGAAAUGCGCAGAUAUCAGGAGGAACACCAAUGGCGAAGGCAGCACUCUGGGACGUGACUGACGCUGAGACGCGAAAGCGUGGGGAGCAAACAGG